UACGGAGGGUGCAAGCGUUGUUCGGAAUUAUUGGGCGUAAAGGGCGCGUAGGCGGUAAUGCUAGUCAGAUGUGAAAUACUCCGGCUCAACCGGGGAACUGCAUCUGAAACUGCAUAACUAGAGUACAGAAGAGGGAAACGGAAUUCCCGGUGUAGAGGUGAAAUUCGUAGAUAUCGGGAGGAACACCAGUGGCGAAGGCGGUUUCCUGGUCUGAUACUGACGCUGAGGCGCGAAAGUGUGGGGAGCAAACAGGAUUAGAUACC
rnacentral:rRNA from 1 species